rnacentral:pre_miRNA from 1 species
CCCUUGCUGGGCUCACAGCAGCCAAACAGAAGCUCUGUCUUGUCGUCUCUAUGAGAAAGUGCUUCUUGUUCGGCUGUUUUGGGA